rnacentral:rRNA from 1 species
GACGAACGCUGGCGGCGUGCUUAACACAUGCAAGUCGAACGGAAAGGCCCUGCUUUUGUGGGGUGCCCGAGUGGCGAACGGGUGAGUAACACGUGAGUAACCUGCCCCUGUCUUUGGGAUAACUUCAGGAAACUGGGGCUAAUACCGGAUAGGAGCUCCUGCUGCAUGGUGGGGGUUGGAAAGUUUCGGCGGUUGGGGAUGGACUCGCGGCUUAUCAGCUUGUUGGUGGGGUAGUGGCUUACCAAGGCUUUGACGGGUAGCCGGCCUGAGAGGGUGACCGGCCACAUUGGGACUGAGAGACGGCCCAGACUCCUACGGGAGGCAGCAGGGGGGAAUAUUGCACAAUGGGCGGAAGCCUGAUGCAGCAACGCCGCGUGCGGGAUGACGGCCUUCGGGUUGUAAACCGCUUUCGCCUGUGACGAAGCGUGAGUGACGGUAAUGGGUAAAGAAGCACCGGCUAACUACGUG